rnacentral:rRNA from 1 species
GACGAACGCUGGCGGCGUGCUUAACACAUGCAAGUCGAACGGAAAGGCCCUGCUUUUGUGGGGUGCUCGAGUGGCGAAAGGGUGAGUAACACGUGAGUAACCUGCCCUUGACUUUGGGAUAACUUCAGGAAACUGGGGCUAAUACCGGAUAGGAGCUCCUGCUGCAUGGUGGGGGUUGGAAAGUUUCUGCGGUUGGGGAUGGACUCGCGGCUUAUCAGCUUGUUGGUGGGGUAGUGGCUUACCAAGGCUUUGACGGGUAGCCGGCCUGAGAGGGUGACCGGCCACAUUGGGACUGAGAUACGGCCCAGACUCCUACGGGAGGCAGCAGUGGGGAAUAUUGCACAAUGGGCGGAAGCCUGAUGCAGCAACGCCGCGUGCGGGAUGACGGCCUUCGGGUUGUAAACCGCUUUCGCCUGUGACGAAGCGUGAGUGACGGUAAUGGGUAAAGAAGCACCGGCUAACUACGUG